rnacentral:lncRNA from 1 species
UUGUUUAUUUUUUUCAGAUGACAGAUAGUUUAAAUUUAAAAGGAGGCAUGAAAGCAUUUCACGCACUUUGUGAAUCCCAGCUCAAGGAGAUAAUUGACAGUAGGUUCUAAAUCCUUCUCCACACUUAAUGUAAGCAACUGAGGAUGCCAAGUAACAAGCCUGUAAAUAAACAAAUGAUCAAAUAUCAUGAGACCAAAAUAGCAUGAGCAAUGUAAGCAUAGCACUCAAACUGAGAGGAACAGACACAUAUAUGCUGUUAUGAUGAACAGAUACAGCUGCCGAUAUGGCUACAAAAUUAGUUUGAUUGAUUUCACAUAUGAUUUUGAAGUAUCUGAUACUAAUAACGCACCCAUUUUGAAGCACCUAAAACCAUCGGUUUGAGCUUCAAAAGAUACAAUUAGAAAGAUUAGUUGCAAUGAAAAAUAAUAAAUUCUUAAGAAAAAAAAUGUUGUCAUCAUGAAGUUCUGCGGUCACAGAAUUUCUGUGAAAGUCAAAAGAAAUCGGUGAAUUGCAGGCAAACCUUGCAAAGUGAGGAACCUUUUAUGCCAGGGCUUUCCAAGAGCUUCAAAGUAAAGAAACAACCUAGCCAAACCCCUUUUCUCUGCACAUGCAUAGACUCUGGAACCAAACAUAAGGUGACCCAUUUCCUCAAAGCUCGCCAUCAGUAACCCAUGCCAAUGCUUCCUUUCAAAGGAGACAGAAGGUCCCCCGUUUCCAAUUGCACUCUCUCCUGUGAGUUCAUGGCAUCUGCUCUUUCCCAGUGAGAAUUCAGUGGAUUCCACCACAAGAAGAGCUCAUUUGUCCGGAGGAGUUGGAUUGGGGCUCAUCGCAUUCGAGUUCGGGAAACCAUGGGUUGAGCCUGAG